CAGUCGCCACGGUAAUACGAAGGGGGCUAGCGUUGCUCGGAAUGACUGGGCGUAAAGGGCUCGCAGGCGGUUUCUUAAGUCUGAUGUGAAAGCCCCCGGCUCAACCGGGGAGGGUCAUUGGAAACUGGGAAACUUGAGUGCAGAAGAGGAGAGUGGAAUUCCACGUGUAGCGGUGAAAUGCGUAGAGAUGUGGAGGAACACCAGUGGCGAAGGCGACUCUCUGGUCUGUAACUGACGCUGAGGAGCGAAAGCGUGGGGAGCGAACAGGAUUAGAUACCCCGGUAGUCCCUGUCUCUUAUAC
rnacentral:rRNA from 1 species